GACGAACGCUGGCGGUGUGCUUAACACAUGCAAGUGGAGCGACGAACCAGGGCUUGCCCUGGGGCAGAGCCGCGAACGGGUGAGUAACACGUGGGUAACGUACCCCGAUGACCGGGACAACCCGAGGAAACUCGGGCUAAUACCGGAUGUGUCCGACUUCCAUGAGGAGGUCGUGCAAAGGAAGCUUCGGCCUCCGCAUCGGGAGCGGCCCGCGGCCCAUUAGCUAGUUGGUGGGGUAAUGGCCUACCAAGGCUGCGAUGGGUAGCUGGUCUGAGAGGACGAUCAGCCACACUGGGACUGAGACACGGCCCAGACUCCUACGGGAGGCAGCAGUGGGGAAUCUUGCGCAAUGCGCGAAAGCGUGACGCAGCAACACCGCGUGAGGGAAGACGCCU
rnacentral:rRNA from 1 species